AAGUCGUAACAAGGUUUCCGUAGGUGAACCUGCGGAAGGAUCAUUAACACCAACGUUUAACCACCCUGUGCACCUUCAUUGAAACCCUACGUUGGCGGAAAAACGGAUCGGGUGCAACUCACACGAGGUGUAUGAAGAUGGACCCAAGGAAGAUCGUGGAAGCGCGUUACAAAUAGGCGCGUUUCCAUUGUGUCUUCUGGAAAGUCGGUAACUCUGAGGAGGUAUCUUGAAAAGACCAAGACCACACCUUGGGUAACACCGGGUCCGCCUUAAAAACGCCGCAUGUGCCCUUGCAGGCGCAACCGAAGGAACCUAAGGGAUGGGGACUACCGAUGCGCCGGUCCUAGCGGGUUCAGGUGUCGGAAACCCCGAACAGCAAUGGAUAUCUUGGCUCUC
rnacentral:misc_RNA from 1 species